rnacentral:rRNA from 1 species
GAUGAACGCUGGCGGCGUGCCUAAUACAUGCAAGUCGAGCGAACAGACGAGGAGCUUGCUCCUCUGACGUUAGCGGCGGACGGGUGAGUAACACGUGGAUAACCUACCUAUAAGACUGGGAUAACUUCGGGAAACCGGAGCUAAUACCGGAUAAUAUAUUGAACCGCAUGGUUCAAUAGUGAAAGACGGUUUUGCUGUCACUUAUAGAUGGAUCCGCGCCGCAUUAGCUAGUUGGUAAGGUAACGGCUUACCAAGGCAACGAUGCGUAGCCGGCCUGAGGGGGUGAUCGGCCACACGGGAACUGAGACACGGUCCAGACUCCUACGGGAGGCAGCAGUAGGGAAUCUUCCGCAAUGGGCGAAAGCCUGACGGAGCAACGCCGCGUGAGUGAUGAAGGUCUUCGGAUCGUAAAACUCUGUUAUUAGGGAAGAACAAAUGUGUAAGUAACUAUGCACGUCUUGACGGUACCUAAUCAGAAAGCCACGGCUAACUACGUGCCAGCCGCCGCAGUAA